CCUACGGGGUGCAGCAGUGAGGAAUAUUGGUCAAUGGACGAGAGUCUGAACCAGCCAAGUAGCGUGAAGGAUGACUGCCCUAUGGGUUGUAAACUUCUUUUAUAUGGGAAUAAAACGUUCCACGUGUGGGAUUUUGUAUGUACCAUAUGAAUAAGGAUCGGCUAACUCCGUGCCAGCAGCCGCGGUAAUACGGAGGAUCCGAGCGUUAUCCGGAUUUAUUGGGUUUAAAGGGAGCGUAGGUGGAUUGUUAAGUCAGUUGUGAAAGUUUGCGGCUCAACCGUAAAAUUGCAGUUGAAACUGGCAGUCUUGAGUACAGUAGAGGUGGGCGGAAUGCGUGGUGUAGCGGUGAAAUGCUUAGAUAUCACGAAGAACUCCGAUUGCGAAGGCAGUUCACUGGACUGCAACUGACACUGAGGCUCGAAAGUGUGGGUAUCAAACAGGAUUAGAUACCCUUGUAGUC
rnacentral:rRNA from 1 species